rnacentral:tRNA from 1 species
UAUUGUUCUUAUAGUUGAAGUACAACAGUGACUUUUCAUGUCACUAGUCAUGGGUUGGCCAUGUAAGAACA